rnacentral:misc_RNA from 1 species
GACGGAGGGUGCGAGCGUUGUUCGGAAUCAUUGGGCGUAAAGCGUGCGUAGGCGGUGUGGCAAGUCGGGUGUGAAAGCCCAGGGCUCAACCCUGGAACUGCGCUCGAAACUGCCAGACUUGAAUCCGGGAGAGGGUAGCGGAAUUGUCGGUGUAGAGGUGAAAUUCGUAGAUAUCGGCAAGAACAUCUGUGGCGAAGGCGGCUACCUGGAUCGAGAUUGACGCUGAUGCACGAAAGCGUGGGGAGCAAACAGG